rnacentral:rRNA from 1 species
UACGAACUGUGCAAACGUUAUUCGGAAUCACUGGGCUUAAAGGGUGCGUAGGCGGCUAUUUAAGUAGGGUGUGAAAGCCCGCAGCUUAACUGCGGAAUUGCGCUCUAAACUGGAUGGCUUGAGUGAGAUAGGGGUGUGUGGAACUUCCGGUGGAGCGGUGAAAUGUGCUGAUAUCGGAAGGAACGCCGGUGGCGAAAGCGACACACUGGGUCUUAACUGACGCUGAGGCACGAAAGCCAGGGUAGCGAACGGG